ensembl:lncRNA
GUGUAUUCAAACUAAUCCCUGGGCUGCCUAUUACAGCCUAAUAUCCCUGCCAUUUGUAUAUUUAAAGGGAUAGUUGCUGCAGAAAUAAAUGGCAGGGCAGCGCUCUCGCUGGCUAGAGCAGGAUGAUCAACAUAUUGUUUCUUUCUUGCUCUCCUCUCCGACGUGUGUGUUCCACUCCAUCCCUGUAAUAUUAUUAUGGAGAUUUUUACCGAGGGCUGAGAGCUGAGGAAGUCGGAGGUAGGAUGGUGUCCUCUCGUGGCAGUCAGCAUCUCUGCAGCCUGAUGGUAGCCGUGCCAAGAGAGAGCCGAGCCUGGGCUCUCCUGGGCAUGCACUGCUGUCUUAGGGACAAAACUCUUGGAGCAGAGCUUCCCACCUCCCCUAGUGCACCCAAAGACGAGGAGCCUCCUGCUUCUGCUCCACGCCAGGCUGGAGGCUGCUGCUUGCUCUUGCUUUCCCUGCGUGAAAGAAGAACCCUUGGGAAAGGAGUGGUGGGUACCAGCUUUGCAGAGCGGAGGAAGUUUGUCCCAUGGAAGUGAGCAUCUCUGAGCUGCCGUGGGUUGGUGGAGAACAUCUCAGAGCUUGUAAUCGUGAGUACCGGCACUGCUUGUGCCUGCUGUGAGGGCGGGAGGGGGGGGUUGAGGGUGAGGAAGAGGAGGCUGAAGGUGGCCUUUGGCAAUGCUGAGCCCGUCAUGGGGAGAUGCCACAAGGAGUGGUGCAGAGAGGAGCCUCUCCCAGUGCCCAACACCCGCUGCUCCACCUGCAUACCACCACAGCUCUGGCUUAUCCUCAGCGAAGGGCUGUGAGGAAUACAGAGCUCACAGUGCUGCUCGUUUGCAGAGUGCAUUCUGAUGGCUCAGCUUGACAUACCCUGCAGCAGGCAGUGGCUGCUCCUGCUCGAACUGAGCUGGCCAUGCAGCCUCCCCAGCCCCAUUGACAUGCCGGGGCUUAACCCUCUCAUACCCACAUACCGUGCCCAUGUAGCUUGUAGGGUGUCUGUCCAUCCGCCUUUGUGGGAUGUCUGUCCAUCCAUCUUGGCCUGAGCUGGGUCCCUUUUGCUUCCUGAACUUGCUCCAGAUUCAGGCAGCUGUGUGAGCCCCCACGCAGUCCCAUUGCCACAGCCCUGCUGUCCCAGCUGUGGCUGCCUUUCCAGGGCAGGAGGGUGCUGAGCUGUGAGGCUGGCUCAGGAUGGGUGGGUGAGCAUGGCUUACACCUCAGCCUGGCAAAUCUGACCAAAAUGCAAAUCUGAACCCGUGUCAACCACCCUUACCUAUGUCAUGUUCCACCACUAUGUGAGAUCCCACCGUGGACCAAGAGAUGCCAUUAUGAACACGUGUCCAGCAUGCAAUCAAGGCAUGAACUCAUGGUGCUCAUUAUUGGCUUCCCUCAAAGUUUCUGGACAUUUGUCACUGUUUCUUUCUCUUAGGCCAGGAGGGGCUAGUUGUGAAUUGAUUCCCAAUGGCCACAGUGCUCUCCUGUGCUGUCAUUAUGUGUGAUCGUAAGUAAUAACAACAAUCACCGUGUCACUGCUUCCGAGGCAGGCUUUGUCUCUCUGCAUUGGCACCCUUUCAUCUCCAGCUCCCCAGCACGCUGCUGCUGGCAGGUCGGUGUGUUUGUUGGGUUGGUGGUGACAGGUAAUAAUCUGAAGCCUGCAACGUCUCAGCAAGCAGCUGAAGCAUUUCUUCUGCCUUUUCUGCCCCUUCACCCAGCAGUGCUGGGCAGGGGACUCGCAGGACCUGACUGAGAUAGAUCCUCUUCCCAUUGCCCUGGGGAAUGGCAGAGUUUAUAGCAGCAACACAUCAGGCUGAGAUAUCCAUCCAGCCGUCCCCUCCGGGUUAAGGAGGGCUCUUUAUUUUUUUGUUAAUGGGUUCAAUGUUUUACAGCUAACGUUCAAAUAGCAGCUUAAGAGCUUAAAGUACGAAACAGAAGGAUGUGUUGGCACGUCAGGAUGUCCUUCCUCCUCCUGCCUGCCAUGCUCUGCCUGGUGUUAACCCGAGGAAAAGUACCACUAAACUCUGAGCCUCCUCUGAGCGGUGCAUCCUAUUCAUGGCAUUCCUUCUACUCUUGUCCAUACCAGCCCAAGGGUACUGCUAUUGCUAUCACUUUCUCUUUAUUUAUAUGAGCUCAGCCACCAGCCCUUAAUAUUCUGUAACACGAGAGCACACCUUCCUGAUCACUUUCCUUCAUUAAGAAAACUUCAUUUCAGCGCUGACGGGGAAAUGAAUUGGGUGAAGGAAAACAAACCACCCUAACGUAACCAUAAGCUUUCUGGUUGGAUUAAAUAUUAAAAUUAAUAAUCCAGCACUGCAUUCAGCCUUGUAUUUAUGUUAAUAUUUAAUUCAAUAAAAGCCCACAUUUUAGAACACUUUCCCAUUUGUUUAAAGCUGCAGAUGAAAUUGUGGUCUCGGCAUUAUGUAGAACAAUCCGCAGCUGACUGCUUUAUGGUAAUGAGGAGGAAUGGCAGCUCCAGAGCCCUCCACCCAGGCAGGAGGGGAAGAUCCAGCAGCGAGAGGAUGUGAGGCUGCUGGGGAAUGUGAUUCUUGCUCGGCUCUUAGGAGAGAGGCCGUGUGAUGGGCAAUGGUGGUGCAAAGCCCAGGGGCAGUGAGCGCUCUGUGUGUGACUCUGGGACCCAUUUGCAUGCCACAUUGCACAGGGGAGCAGCCCUGCAGCAGCCCAAGGAUUUGGGGAAUCAUAGAAUUGUUAAGGUUGGAAAAGAACUCAAGGUCAAGUCCAACUGUCAGCCCAUCACCAUCAUGCCCACUAAACCAUGCCCCUAAGUGCCAUAUCCCUGUGCUUCUUUAGCGUGUCUACACGUUUCUUGAGCACCUCUGCUGCUAAAGAGAGAAAACCAACAACCUUUAGAUUAAUUUUUAACUUCCUGUCUGUUAACUUCAUGGGUGCAACAGUAGAACUCCAGGAGGCUUCCGUUUGUGUCAUAGUCUUCCCAGUCAUCACCUCCCCAACAAGUCCUUGCCCUUGGAAAUGGUAAGUAGACAAGUCCAGGACUGGAGAUGCAUCUUGGCUUUUCAGGACAAGGGCAGGACAAGGUAAGAGCAUCACGCAAGGGUGGUGAGAUUGGACCCACACUGUGUUCUCCUCCCAUGGCCCUGGGACACCCUGGGUUGAUUCAGCCUCACACCAGGUGAGAUGCUGCGAAUGCUGAGCUUUACCAGAACCAUCCCAUUCUCUUCUUCAAUGCUAACACCUAGUUGGGGUUAGCCCAAAGGAUCAUCCAUUGCCCUGGAGGGCUCAUGCUGCAUGCUGAAAAGCAAGUGGGAAGGACUUUGAGGUCAUGCUUGGUUGGUCUCAUUUUCCAAGGGACCUGUGAGCAGAGCUCCUGGCAGAGGCUGAUGAUUGGGUUUUGCCAAUGGGGAGAUAUUAUGAAAAAAUAAAGAAAGAAAAGAAAGAAAGAAAGAAAGAAAGAAAAGAAAAGCUUUCCCAGGAUAGCUGCAAUUGAAAUACAGAAUAAUUAAAUUGCCUGACAUCACAUGCAGAAAGAAGGUGGAGCACGUAGCAGUGAUCAGUAAAAAUGAAACGCUUUGCAGGUGGAGUACACCUGAGUUUUCUGCAGUCCAGAUAUGUACUCAGACUUCCUGGAAUCUUUUGGGGCCUAAUUAAAUUCAAAGGGAUUUAAGCAAAAUCUGCAUGGAAGAUAAUACUUUUCUUUCUAUUAAGGAACUGCUUAAUAAAACAGAUUAUGUGUAAAAUAGAAAUAUGGGCCCUGCAACAGGAAAGUGAAAAGACACUAAUGAGCAGUGUCUGAGUGUUAAUGAAUUGUAUUAGCAUGCCAUUACCUGCAAAUAUUAUAAAUAGACCGACUGGCUUUGCAUUCCCUUCCCUCCCAAGAACUGUAUGUGAUCUCUAGGAGUGUCUUGCUGGGUUUCUGGGAGCUGUGUUCACCCUUUGAGCCUACAGUGGAGGUGGAGAUGAGAACGUUGACCUUUCGUUUCACUACAUCAUGCAUUCCUUUGGGCAUUCUGAAGCCACCAGGGCAGAGAAGAUGGGGGACGCUGCAUUUUAUUUGGGCUUAGCCCAUAGGCCAUGUUGGGAAGGAGACAAAACAGCUGCGUGCUGCGGGAGGGUAAGAUAGGAUGGGGUUGUGGCAAACCCACCCCUGUGCUUUCCCCAUCACAGCGAUGGACAAGUCCAGAGAUAUUCUGGGUAGAGAAGCUGGGAGGAGAUGCUACCAAUAAUUGGGAGGGAUGUCAAGAAGAAAUGAUGUAUUUAAACAUAUGGACAGGGAUACCUCACCCCUCACCAGCCAUGUAAGGGUUAGUUGUGUGCUCGUUUUGCUGCUCUCUGCAGUCCAUGCAGAAGCAAGUUUCUGGCAGAAGUCUUGGCCCGAAGAGGUGUCCAUGGCAGAUGGGUUCAGCUGUUCUCUGGAGGGUUCUCCUCCUGUUGAUAACAGAGAGAGUGUAGGCAAGUUUGAGACCCAAUGCAUGUCAGUGCUGUUAGCAGAGACAAGCCCUCUUCCCUCCUGGAUGAGGUGCAAACAACUGUAAUUCUGCAAAAUUCCAUGUGGGUUAGUGCUCAUUUCUUAAACAGCCCAAGCUGUCAGGAAUAUCCGAUGUGUGUGAGGAAGAGGAGUGAAGGAGCUGCUGCUUUCUGGCUGCAAUUCGGAUCUCCUGCUUCGACUUCAGAGCCAACAUCCAGACCUCCUGCUCUCCAGGGGCUGUUCCACUGGGUGCUGCAGACCCAAGUAAGUUAGGAGCCAUCUUCCCAUUGUCCUAAGAAGAGUCAUAGUCUUAAUACUGCUGCUCUACUACGGCUCUUUGGCUCCUGCACCCCCAAAUAACAGGCAGACAUUGGUCUGCUGGGCUGGGACAGAAGCACCACGACCCUGGGAGGUGCAGCUCCUUCCAUGGUGAGGAGAGGCUCUCAGUUGGCUCUCUUGCUCUGUUUUGCAUUUCUUUGUGAACACAUGGGGAGAAAAAAAAGGCACGGCUGACAAUAUUCUGCCUUCUUUUACUGCUGGAAGCAAGGAUGAACAGAUUUGCUUUACCAGACACGUCUCUGCAGGCUGCUGGCAGGUUGUCCGUGGACCACAGCUUGCGGUGGCAGUCCUGGGGAGCGUGGGGGCUGGGGCUGUGUGUGCUCUGGGGGAGGCUGGUGCUCCCCUCUUCCUACCCAUACAACUCUGGGCAGUUCCCUUUGCAGUCAGGACCCCCUCCUGCUUCCUGAGGGCAGAGCACAGCGUCCCCCGAGGAGCUGCAAAAGGAGGAUGCUCAGGUGCUUGCACCCUGGAGCUCACCCAGCUUAGCCUGCCACAUUGUCUGCGUGGUUCAGUCUGGGCUCCCAAGCUGCUGGUGCCUUUUCCUGUGCCAGGACACACAGAUACCUGCAUACGGACACUGCUGUCUGCUCUGGCAAGAGACACUGCCUGUCCCCAGGUGAGGGUCCUUGCAGCACCACAGGGGGACAGCAUCCUAAAACACCCAUAGAAUUCUAAAAAAAAACCCAUAAACUCCUAAAAAACCCUAGGAUUCGGAGCAAGUAGCAUCCUCCCUCCUGCAGAAAUAUAGCAAAAUUGUAAAUGUCCAACCCCACAAGGAUUUUGUGACACAUCCAGCAGCCCUGCACUUUCCUUUUUUUUUUUUUUUUGUUUUCCACCUUAGGGGUUUUGACUGCACAGCGGGGCCGGUAAUGAACUGUUACUCUGGAAAAUAAGACUUUCAUUAGGUUAGGAUUCUUCCAGGGUAUUCGUGUCCCUUUGUAAUGAACCGUGAUGAGCGUGGCAUGGAGCGGCUCAUCUUGCUGCUCAUCAGCACCAUGAUCCUUCACCUCCACCAAGCACCAUGCCUGGACCACAGGCAGAAGUCUGGGGCUCGGUGAGGGUUUCCAGCUCAUCGGGAAGCUUUUUGGUGGUUCCCAUCCAAGCUCAGGUCAGUGCCUCAUAAAUCACCGCUGACUGCCGGGAUCGCUUUGGCCGCUCUUCCCCAUCGUCCUGUCUGCAGGAAUGGGCUGCAUGUUUCCACGUGGAUCGGGUCUGAAUUGGCUGUCUGAACCCAGAGAUUAAAGAAACAGCAGCCUCUCUCUCUCCUGUAACUGGCCCGAGAAUCCAUGAGCAUCCUCAGAAGUCUGAAGAGAAUGGGCAUCCUGUCUAUAUCCAAGGCAGGUAAUCACUGUAAAGCCACAGAUUACCCACGGUCUUCAGCAAGGAGUUGUCAGACUACCCAAAAUGUGCUGUAGCACAGCCAGCCCAUAUUUCUCCAUUGGGUCUGAUGUCAUCCAGGUCCUUCCCUCAUCACAUCUCUGUUGUAACACCUUUUCCUCUGUAUUGAUCUGCCACAUUGCUACACCAGGGGACUCUUUGACAGCUGAAGUUUUUGGUGUGUCUGCAUGACGUGAAGGUCCAGAAGGCCACCACUGGGGCUUCUGGUCACCACCCCAUCAGACCUGUGAGCAUGCAGGGAUCUGAAAUAAACUUUCUAAAAAUGAGUUUCUGCCCUCAUAAUUUGUGGUGGCUUUCUGCUAUUUAGGCUUCUCAUCCCUUUUCAAGAUAAAAUAUCCUCAGAUAUGCCCAUAGUGGGUUUCCAGCAUGCUUUCACCGUGCCUUCAGCAAUUUUGUGCAUGUUGACUCCCUGAGGUCACUACUACAGAUGCCUCACCAGUGUACUCAACAUGAGAAGACCAACGUUGCUUGAAACAUUACUCAGGGCCCCAGCAUAAUUAUACCAAUUACAGAGUCAGGCCCUGAGCUGUGCUUUCUGAUGCACACAUCUGCCACGCAGGCUUCAUUGCAUGUGCGGAUCCUGUCGCUAAUAAUGGAAGAUGCCCCAAUCUCUCCAGGGGCAACAGUCUCUGCUACAGGCAAGGUACUAAAUCACACUUGAAGUUUCUAGGCCAAAAUGUUUUACUUUUGUUUUAGAGGAAUAAAGUUCCAAACAAGUGUGAGGUGUAUUUCCAGGCCUGAUUAACCUGGCUCACCUGGUAAUGUGGAAAAAGGGGAGCAGCCUUGUGGGAGGUGGAAGCAGGACCAUCCUGUAGAGAUGGCAUAGAAAUGAUUAGGUGGAAUUACCUAAAAAAAAAAAUAGGUCUUGAAGAGCACUCAAGAAAUGUGCAUGCCACCAUGCUCCAAUGCAGAUUUAACUCUAUAUCUGUUCAACCUCCCAACAGCAUCUUUGAAAGUACCAGCGAUUUCUCUGGUCAUGGGCCCUGCUAACCUUCAGUCUUACAAGUGCCAUGGGCCUUUGAGCCAGGAGAAGGCACAAAGCCAAUUUUAAUUAGUGGUAUUUUGCAAGCCUAGGUUGCUGGAUCUUGUUGAAUCAAUCUCUGUUGCCUCAGUUAAUCCAUGCCACAGUUGCAGCAGAUGGAAGCUCCUGCAGAAGGUGACACGAAGGGACUCUGGCAUUCAGGCCUGUAAGUCUUUCCCAUUUAGACAUCCCCUUGUCUCCCCCUUUCUUCUGUGCCCUUAUCCAAAGGAUCAAGGAUGUGGCUGCAGUGUGCACACUGUAGGGUGCACGUCAGAGGAAUCCUCAUUCCUCCCAGCCUUGAGCAGCUAUGGUGAGAUGGCCCAUCAGGUCCCACUUUUGAGCUGUUCUACCCACCUCUUUCUGUCACGCAGAUGUCCUCAGAUUUGGUGACACAGCAAAAUCCUCUUUCCGCGUGGGAUGGCAGGUUGAGAAGCUGAUCUGGAUGCAACUUAUGCAUGCUGGGAACUUCUCAGAAAUUGUUGCACUUGUGAACGUGGAUACAGAAUAGGCUGCAUAGAGUCAAAGCUCCCUCCUGGGCUGCGAAGAAUGGCAGCGAGAAACAUUAAUAGCUUCUUCUGAAUGAGCAAGUGUGAAUGCUCGGAAGCCCAAUUAGUCUGUGACUUCUACAGAGGCCUCCCACAGAGGAGGACAAAAACAUGGAGCUGAAUGGGACAGAGGAUGAGAAAAGAACAAAAACUAAUGUUCUGCAGCUGAGCAAGCCCCUUAUUUGAGUCAGUGUGAGACCCAGGAGUCUAUGAACCUGCAGGACUUUUGUGAAGGAGUCUGACUCAGCUCGGUGGAGGUCCUGGCAGAAAGCCGGGGUGUGGAAGAGUCACACCAGUAGGUUGUCCUUGCUUUGGAAGGGCAUGCAGAAGGCGCUAUGGCAAAGUGCUGUGUGGGCUUCAAGGGAUCGUCCCUGCUCAUCUCACCUGGGCCUUGUGUGUGGACUGCUGGAAAGACAGGGACUGUGUCUGAGGCACUAUAGCAUGUGUGGAUACGAAGGAGGAAUUUGAGCAGGAGGUACUGAAGGGAAGCCACUGGGCUGCUGGUCUUGUGCUCAGGCCAUUUGGUUGGGGGCUAAAACCAUGCUAAUGGCUUCCAGCACCACUGCCCAGAGCAAUGCUAUUCACACCUACCCAUGUGAUUUCCUCCAGAGACCCUUGAAGUGCUUGAUGGUGUACUGAGGAAGGUUCUUGGAUUCCAAGGCAAGAAGCAAAGCCACUUGGUAUGCUCCCUCCAUCGUUCCAGUGAUGUCACUCCCAAGGGCCAUGUGUGAUAGAGACCCACCUCGUCUGUGCGGUUAGAGCUUCCUCUUCCACUCAUCCCCAUCCUCAAGGCUAAAAGGCCCUUUGCUAAAUAGAAAAAAUACAAGCCUCGUGUCACUGAUAGUUUUAAAAUUAUAAUGGAAACCUUCCGUCAGUGGUGACACAAUUACCUGCCCAUUUUCCUGCUCCACCUCAUUAAAGGGAAAAUGUUACAAUUAAGGUACAGGCGGGAGGAACAGAUUAAUGUUCUGUUUCUAAUGCAUUGAUGAAUUGGCACUUAGUCAAGGGGUUUAAAAAUAUUAAACCCUCGCAAAAGCCGUCCCAAAAGAGAGUGUUCUCUGCUGAGGGGCACUUCUCAGUCUGGACUAUUGGUUAUCCAUAAUUCAUGUCAAGGGUAUGCAGUGGUGUUUGUAGUGGGAGUGGGAUUUGCUUAGAUUAGUCUGCUGGUGUUCCAUGGGGUGGCCAUGUGCUCCAUGGGGGAUCUUCUCUAGGUGUUUCCCUUCACAUAAAAUCAAAUUCUUUUUCAAUUUGUUCAGUGUAUUGUACAUAUAAUUGGACAUCAGCUGUUCUUAUUCUUGCUUUUCAAUCCCUUUUCUUUCCUUUUGGCAUGUCUUUGUUAGGCAUGGCUUUGUUCCACCGAAUGCAAAAUUGCUUCAGUUUUUUAUUCCUGUCUUCAUACCAGAUCCCAGCUGCAUGAAGGGGGUGAUGAGCCUGGCAGAGGCAUGGGCUGGGCCAUUGCCAGUCCCCAACCCCAGAUCCCAUUUGCCUUUGGGAACUCCCUGGCCCACCACCAGUGCCUCACCGAGGAGCAGCGUGCGCCUUCAGUGCACAGCCUGCACCUCUAAAGCUGCUCCAAGGGGGGGUAUGAAAAUCUAUACCCACAUUCUACACCCAACUCCAGCAUUUUCUAACCCAAUUUCAGAACCUUUUUGUGAUCUUGAGCUGAGACUUGGGGCCCGCCAUGCCCACAUUUGCUACACCGCCAGCAAGUCUCACCCCUCCUAUAAUGAAAAUGUCACUAAUGAUAAAUAUUUAUAGGGAUGCUUAUCUUUAUAUUUACUACCUUGACCUUUAUCUAUUUGGAUUUUAUUUUAAAUUUUAUGCAGCUUGCCUUUGCCUCUUCCCAGCCGUGUGGUGCCGCAGAGCAAGGAGCUCUGCAACGGCUCCGAGAUCGCUGCAUUAUAAAUACGUGCACAGUACAUACAAUUACAGAACUUUAAUGUCUGGUAUAAUUACUGUCUGCAGUUUGCAUUAAUGCUCAGGGUGAUAUAGUGAAGCAAGCGACUCAGACACUGCGAGAUGCACGUCCCGAGGGGCAAAGGAAAAUCAUUGCUUGCGAUCCUGCGAUUAAUUAUUGUGCCUUGUGUGGAGAGGCUGAGAUUUUUCCCAAGCACUUUCUUGCACCCACUGUUGAUUGAAAUGCCUACGCAGGAACGGCACUGCUGCGCAUAGCCUGCAGGCUGGGCUGUGCUUUAUAAGCAAGCAAAGGUCUUCAGUUUUAUUCUUGUAAUGUUGCAAGGGAAAACUGAGGAAAACAGCAGGAAUGAGGAGGAGAACGUGAGUCAGUGCAUCUUAAAAAGUGAUGUGUGCUCACUUGCAGGAGGCUUCCUCCAUGUAUCACCUGGCCCAGGACCCAGGAGGGUGUGCCAGGAGAUGCUGGGAGCUCGCUGUGCUGCAGAGUUUAUUAUUGUUAAACUUAAUUAAUCACUUAAUUGAAUGAAAUUAUUGAUGGAGUUCAGAAGAUCCAUGGGGGCAACUGGAUCAGAACACCAGGGAUGCUCCAGGCUGAGCUGUGCAGGGCACCGACCUGUCACAGCUCCAUGGGGUCUUUGGGUUGGAUGCCAGUGUCACUGCCCACCACAUGAAAUGGGCUGAAAAGUAAAGGGCUUGCUUGUCUGCAGCUUGUCCUUGCUACUGUGUGGGUGUUAGAGCAGUGCAAGAGCAUACGUGUGUUGCUGAUGGCAGGGAAAUCAACCACCUCGAAUCACCCACACCAAAAAAAUGAAUGAAAACUCACUAGGUCAGCCGUUAUUUUUCGGUCACAGUGGUGUCAGAUGUGAACCCUCAUGGCUAAAUGUGCAAUCACAGCAAUUGAGUGGGUUCUGCCCAUCAGGGGCUGUGAGAGCUGAUGGGAAGAAGGAGGGAGAGGAGCCCUGGGAAAUUCUGUGUUGUUGUAGAAGGACAAGGAUGGAUGACAGGCUGCCUCCGGGUAAGGAGAUAUCCCAGUGCCAGUGCUGGGAGGGCUGAGGACCGGAUUUAGCCAAGGAAGCCAACAGCUAUCAAGGAGCAGAGCAGAUCCUAUGGCCACCUGGAGAAGGGAAUUCCCAAGGGACUGGUGUCUGGAAGCUUUGGUUGAGUCCCAUGGAUGCUUUUCAUUUGAGGAAGAGGGGGGAAAAAAAAGGGAAGAAAUGAGAUAAUUGGCUUGAUUGGGCUUUGCUGAAAAUCUAGAAAAGAAAAAAGGGAAGAGAAAGUGCUGAGACAGCUCCUUUCUGUGUCUUUGAACUUCAGGCUUUGAAAAGAGGUGUGGAAAAGCUUAAGGAAUUAACAAGGACUACUGGGAAAUCACUCGGGUGGAACUUUCAGGGCUCUCAGCUCAGAAAGAAAUAGGAAGAAAAUCCUUUGUACAUACAUAUACACGCAUGCAUACACUUAGAUACAUAUGUAGGUGAGAGCGUGACCUCUUCAGCCUGCCAUUAAUCUUCAUCUCCAAUGUUUUCAUGCUGCAUUAAUGACGGGUGUUGUUGGCAGGGUGGCUGGAAGGGCAAAAGCUGCAUUUCCCCACGCUGGGGGCUGCGGAGGAGGCAGAGGCAGAUACCUGGGGCUCCCUGGCAGCGCUUGCUGAAGAUCAGCCUUGAUCAGAACAGGUCUUCUCACAGGAAACAUCAACUUUUUGUCAAAAAAGCCUGAAGAUAAAUAUUCUUGGAUGAAAACCUAUAAAAAGCUCAGACUGACAAACUAUUUUUUUUAGGCACUUCUUUUUCUCCCAACAAGAAUAUAUCUGUCAAGAGAAACAGAUGUUCUCUAUGAAGAAUCUUCUUUAAUUACAAGUCUGUCAAAAAGAGAAAUCUUCAAGUGUCUCAAGCCUCAAAUCUGCGAAUGGCUUCAGCCCUGGGCAAGAAAUCACCCCUUUCCUGAGCAGCCCCAGUGCCCUUUCUCAGCUCUUGUCAUGUCAUCCCUGCAGCUGCACCAAUAAACUGGGCAUUUUUGGAGUUUAGUUUUCAGAUGAGCCCGCUUCAAAUCAAUGGAGCUGCUGCUUUUCGUGACUCCUGGGAAUAAGAUGGCGUGGAAACAACCCACGGCCAUGCCCAAAUAAGAAAACUAAAAGAAUUAUUGGUUUUGGUCAACCUGGAACAUGGCUCUUUUUGCCCUGACAUUUUCCUAGAGGAAAGUGAAACUCUUCAUCUACAGAUUCAAAAAGUCCCAAAGGCACUCUGUCAGACAUCUCCCAACGUGCUCUCUCAGUUAUUGCUGGAUGGAUCAGAAGUUCUCCAGGGAGCAGUGAAGAUGUUUUUGCGGGCUACAAAACCUCAAAGGCUGAAAAUACUCAAUUCCAGUGUCUGCUUCUUGCUUCCAGAGGAGAUAUCUGCUCUUUGUCUUCAUCUUCAUCGUCAUCAUCUUUGUCUUUGUCUUCAUCUUUGUCUUUGCUUUGUCUUUGUCCUCCUUCUCCUUCUUUCUCUCUCUCCUCUUCCUCUUCCUUUUCCUCCUUCCUCCAGCUCCUAAAUCCCCACCUUCCCUUGACCCCCCCUCCUUUCCUUCUCCCCAUCAUGCAUUGCAUGCUGAAUGCAGGAGGCUCUCAAAGGCAAGAGUCGGCCUGGGACACUCUUACCCACAAUAGCAGUGGUGAACAGAACCCAGGUUUUCAGCCAGGAAAUUUCACUGGUAAUCUCCUGCGAGGGAGGCGCUCCCAUUUUUCAUGAUGGUUGGCCCUUGCGGGAUAUGGAUGAAAAGAGAAAGCAUUUCAUUUGCUCUUUGAAAACUGGAGCUAUAGAUCAAGGCCCUGCUCAGUCCCCUGAAGACUAGAAAUGGGAUUUUUGCAAGAAUUGAGGCUAUCCUCUCUGAAAACUAAAACAGUUAUCUACACUUUCAUCGAGAGGUCAGCAGUAGAGAUUUUUCUCCAACAGCUGGAUAAAUCCAGGCUGUUAGUGCCUCUCCUUCCCACUGUUCUCUGUUAUUGCUUUUCAUUACGUGAAGGGUGAGGAACAAGCAAAUACCUCUGCUUUCUAGCUUUGCCCUUGCCCGUUUGUACAAAGCAGCCAAACAUUUCCUUCUGACACUCAGGACCCAAGCACCUUUGGUGUCUGAUGUUUCUCCUUGGAUGCCAUGGUCUGGAUGCAGUUGCUCAGGGCUGCUUAAUCCUACCAGAUGGCAUAGAAAUGUUAUUUUUUGGACACAGGCACUCUUCUUGCCGGAUAUGGGUGCCACGGGACCAGGGCAUCCUUUGUCGCCUGGACCCAGUGUGAUCUCCUGUAACACUGGGCAGGAGGGUUUGCAGAAUCACGCUGCAUCCUGCGUCCCUGAGCCUUGCAGCCAUAAAUCCUUUGCCUCUGCCACAACUGUGAUUGAGCCUGCCUGGCUUAAUUUAUUUCUCCAGAGCCCACACAGUUAUGGUAGAGAUGAUUGCCUGCUCAAGGAGCAGCACUUGGGAUGAAAUCUUUUCCUCUUGAGAGUGCUGCUGGAAAAACAAGGCAGUGUCCGUGAGCUGCCAGCAAUCCCCAUGUAGGCAUUGUCUUUGCUUGGCCACUUCUUUGCGGUGCUCUCAUCCUUCCUGACCUCUCCCCUUCUCUCCCUUCCUUUAAGUCCUUUUCUCUCUGUUUCAUUUCUACCUAUGUCUCUUCCUCUUCAGGUUCCUCGCUAGGCACUGGAGCUGAUUGCAGUGGUGAUCCAGCAAAUCACAGUAGUGAUGCUGCUGAUGGAAUAACUCCUUGGGGUUCCACACGGUUGCUGUGCGGGCACUGAGUUUCAAACUGCAGAAAAGGAGCAGGAAAGCCUGAUAUUUGGGUGCAUCAACUGGAGCUUUCAUCCCCACCCCAGGGAGAUGGGUUUUGGAGCCCUAGCAGCCUGCCCACCCUAUGGACAUGGCCAGAUACCCCCAGUUCCUUCCCAAGCACUGCUACCCAGAGAGGUGCUCUGUCCUGGCUAUGGGAGUUGAGCACGAAUAACUCACAAAUAAUGGAAAUCCCCACCAUGUGCCCCCAGCAUUGGCACGGCUCAGGGCCCUGCAAGAAGCGCGCUGCCUUGUUUGUCACCUGAAGCACUUGGAAAAAUUACACAAAUCCAUCAAUGUAAUGAAUCUUCUCAGCAGUGGCAAAUAGACAGAGACAGACAGGCACUCAGCUGAAACAAGUCAUCUUUAAAAAUUAAUACAAAAUAAACAGCUGGCCUUUCGCUCCGCUUCCAGGUGGUGGCUGCGUGGUUUGGGCGAGGGCUGGGCAGGGACCAAUGAUGGUUCCCAAUGGGAUCACGUCCCUGGGGCAGGGAAGUGUCCUCUGCCGUGUCCCUGUCACUGUCACAGUGUCACCUCCAUCUGCUGCUGCUCCAGGAAUGGUGGUGCAGCGCGGCAGUCAGUGUUGCACUGCAUGAGUGACUGCUUAAGAAACAGCCAAAUCUUUGGGAAUGCCAAAGCCUCAUCACCUCCCUACAGCCUUGCCAGGCUUCUGCCAGCCCUCUGGGCUCUCACAUCAGUUUGUCAGUGUCUGAUGGAGCUUGUACACUCCUCAGAGGACAGGCUGAGCUUGCUCUCCUGCUUGUCACGAUGUGGGCUCCAUAAAUAAUUAACAGCGGUGCUGCUUCUGCCCUCGAGCUUUCAUUUCAUUACCCAGGAAUAACAUACCCACCUAUAUACGUGUGUAUGUACAUGUCUGCGUGUAAUACGCAUCCAUAUGUACUUACAUUGCUUAAACAUCUGUUUCACCGGCCAGCCUCUCUGCUUUUCCUUCGGCCAUUGCUCUGUCUCCCUGCUGGUCCCAAGGGCAGGCAAGCAGCAGAAGGCGCUGCUCUCGACCGUGAGCAUCCCACCAGUGCUCCAGCUGCUCCUGCUCUGAGGCCAGGCUAUUUAUGAGGUACCAUGGGGCUGCCCUUGCCCUGCAGAGUGUGGGGAUGGAGAGCGGGGAGGAAGACGGAUGGAUCCUGAAUUGAGGUGAAUUUAUGGGGCUUUGCGAUUCCUGCUGCUGUAUGUCUCCGAGAAAUGACACCGCCACUUCAGGAGCAGAGAUUAAUCUGAGCCGGCAGGAGAAGGACAAAACAAAUCAUCUACUGCAGGAAUCUCAUUUGAUGCCUGUUAGUAAAAGCACUGCGAUGAAUGGCUUUUGUAAAGACCACGUAGUACAGGCUUUUUUUUUUUCCUCCCUUUUCUCCAUUCGUCUGCAAAUUGAGGUCUGUGAGGUGUGUGGUGGAGGCACCCCAGGGUCACUCAUGGCCAGGCACAGGACAAGGACUCCCAGCAGCUUUGUGCACUGUGAGACAGGAGAGCAAAAAAGGGAAGGCAGAGCUCCCAGCGCAUCGUACCCAAGGAAGGAAUCCUUCGCUUUUGUUUUUAAAAGGGCAUUGAUUCUCACGUCCUGCAGAACACGGGGUCGGGGCAGCCUGCAGCCCCAGACAGAACAUCCCAGUGCUGCUCUGCAUCCCAGCCAGCAGCAGCUGGAUGCGGCCCAGUGGGAGCAGUACCAGCACCGAGCACUCCUCCCGCACGCCGCUGUGCAUCCCAGCUCAAUACAGAAUCAAUUGGAUUGAUCUUUUUUUAAGGUGCAGCCUCCGAACGGCUGAGACUGUGAGAGACGUGGCUAAGCACGCACUUCCACAAAAUAAUUUGUCAGGCCCCGCUGUAGAAACCUAAUGAUGGCUGUAAUUUAUUGCUGACAGACGAUAUUUAUCACCGCAGCAUCCCCUCUUUCUCUUCCUCUGUCUCGUUAGGAAUGGCAUCAAUAAUGUUUAUUGUAGCUUUUAAUUUUUUAUCGCUGGUAUUCUUACCUGUGCUGCUGAGGGCUGCAGGAGAUGGGAAAGGCGUCAGAGCAGAUGGAGGCUCAGCUCUGUGCUGAAGGGUGAGCGAUGAAGGCUGGAAGUUCCUCCUGCGUGCCCAUGCAGGGAGCGUGCAGUGCCAGAGAGCACCCCGGUAGCAGGGAAAAGUGAGCUGUUCCCAUAAAGCUUACUCCCUCUCUUCUGAGCCUUUGGACCUGUGCAAGGGAUGCUCAGACCCAGCAAAGCGGUGGCAUUGCUUUGGUUUUCCCCAGAUGCUGCUCCCACGUGGGGCUGGAGAAGGAACAUCACCCCUCCGCUGCUGCACCUGCAUUGCUGCGAUCAUCUCACACCUGAUGAUGCCCACAAGCCCUGUGGUCACAGUUCUUGUCCCUGAAAGCAACCAAAACCCCAACUCCAAUCCUGAAAUCUCCUUUUUUUCCCCUCGUUUUCCUACAGUUUUUCCUACCCUUGAGGAAAUGUGCUGCACCAGGUUUUGAUGCCCUAUAAACCAGCACUUCCCAGAGGGGAUUUCUUCCCCCUUUCCAGACGUGAAUAAUUACCCAGGCAGAGGCUGUUCCAGCCUCGUUACAGGAGCCUCUCAGACUAGCCGGUCAUUUACAGAUUAGAUAGAUGUUGCCCACGUUGUUCAUAACUGAUUAUGGGAUUGGCAGUUUGGCUCUCACCCAAAAUUCAGAGUCCUGAUUUAGCAUAAUUGGAAGUGAAUGGCGGAGCAGGCUGGGGGAUGGGGAUGGUGCCUGCUGCUGAUUUCCUAAUGCCGGCUUUGGGGAUCCCUGACAAGCUGCGGAGUGCUCUUUAUAGGGCAAUAACGUUUACGGUGUGGGUUGUCUGGGGGAGGAACUCCUGUGAUGGCAGCAGCCACCUCCUGCACGUCCCAGAUCGAAGCUGGAGAAAUCAAGAAUACCAGAAGAGCAACGAGGAUGAUAUUAAAAAGUAAUCCCUUCUGUGUCAAGGUGUGGGCUUUUUUGCUUAUAGAAAUUGUUCUUCUGCAUUAAUCUAUUCUACUUUGUGCUAUCCUGUCCUUUUACUGACUUCUGUUCCUCCCUUAGUUUAUCCCACUAAAUGUUGGCGUUCCCACUGUUGACCCUUCAUGCACCCAUAGCCUUCCUUGCACUUAUUCUCACAGCCCCUCUCUGCUGGAGGCUCCAAGAGCACAGUGCAAUCCAUUGUGCAAUCCACAAUGCAAUCCAGUUUGUCC